GCAUGCAGCCAUACUAACGAUCUCACAGCAACACCUACAGGUAAAAAGCAAAAGCAGUCAAAGUGCUGGUGUAUUCUGGGCACUUGAAAACUUUUAGACAAAAAACAGUGCAAGAAGCAGACAUAAUAACUGCAUUUAUUUCCAUAAUUCUCCAUUUGAAUGGCCUUUUCUUUUUGUUUAGACAAUUCCUAUGCCUGGCCAGAGCAGCUCCCUCAUGCAGACUCCGCAAGCCAAGAGGUCGUGGAGGCAAAUGCAGGCAGCCAGCACACCUCGAACAGCCACCUUGACUGCAGGUGUGUCACCCUAGUCGCCAAGGAAGCAUUUGAGGGAAAGCGACAGGCAAUGUGAACAGCCACUUCUCCAUGUAAACGACACUCUCUCUCUCGGAUGACUGCUACGCCUCGCCACGCCAGCUCAUCUGUGCAGACUCCACCAACAAAGAUGCCGCGGAGGCACGUGCAGGCCAGAGGCAAGAAGCAGUGACACUGGUGUUGACAUUCACCCAAUUUCUUUUUCUUAGAUUGAGGCAGCCAGCACACCUCGAACAGCCAACUUGACUGCGGGUGUGUCAACAGAUUCCUGUUGUACAUAUGCUCAUAAUAAACUUCAGUAAACUUCAACUUGAUAAUAAACUUGAAGGCAAAUGGGA
rnacentral:lncRNA from 1 species